AUUGAACGCUGGCGGCAGGCCUAACACAUGCAAGUCGAGCGGAUGAAGGGAGCUUGCUCCUGGAUUCAGCGGCGGACGGGUGAGUAAUGCCUAGGAAUCUGCCUGGUAGUGGGGGAUAACGUCCGGAAACGGGCGCUAAUACCGCAUACGUCCUGAGGGAGAAAGUGGGGGAUCUUCGGACCUCACGCUAUCAGAUGAGCCUAGAUCGGAUUAGCUAGUUGGUGGGGUAAAGGCCUACCAAGGCGACGAUCCGUAACUGGUCUGAGAGGAUGAUCAGUCACACUGGAACUGAGACACGGUCCAGACUCCUACGGGAGGCAGCAGUGGGGAAUAUUGGACAAUGGGCGAAAGCCUGAUCCAGCUAUGCCGCGUGUGUGAAGAAGGUCUUCGGAUUGUAAAGCACUUUAAGUUGGGAGGAAGGGCAGUAAGUUAAUACCUUGCUGUUUUGACGUUACCAACAGAAUAAGCACCGGCUAACUUCGUG
rnacentral:rRNA from 1 species